UUUGCAGAUAUUUGCUUCUAUGGUCACUGGAUAAACUUCAGAAGCAUCAUGGUGGACGCCAAUGCAAAGUAAAGCUGCCAAAUUCCUGACACCAAAGAAGCUAAGAGCUGAAGGAAAUCCAACGCAUGAGGAUGGGAACAAGGAUGAUAUGGUCCUUGAGAGAUGAAUUUUCAACUGCCUGCCUCACAAGCACAAGAACCCAAGUUCAAAUCCCCAGUACCAAAAAAAAAAGAGAGAGAUGAAUUUUAAUACAUAUUAAUAAAUAUUAGGUAAG
rnacentral:lncRNA from 1 species